rnacentral:rRNA from 1 species
AACGAACGCUGGCGGCAUGCCUAACACAUGCAAGUCGAACGGGAUCCAGGCUUCGGCCUGGUGAGAGUGGCGGACGGGUGAGUAACACGUGGGAACCUGCCUUUUUGGUUCGGGAUAACCGCGGGAAACUGCGGCUAAUACCGGAUGCUCCCGAGAGGGGAAAGAUUUAUCGCCAGAAGAGGGGCCCGCGUCCGAUUAGGUAGUUGGUGAGGUAAUGGCUCACCAAGCCGACGAUCGGUAGCUGGUCUGAGAGGAUGAUCAGCCACACUGGACUGAGAUACGG